rnacentral:rRNA from 1 species
CCUACGGGAUGCAGCAGUGAGGAAUAUUGGUCAAUGGACGCAAGUCUGAACCAGCCAUGCCGCGUGCAGGAAGACGGCUCUAUGAGUUGUAAACUGCUUUUGUACGAGGGUAAACGCAGGUACGUGUAUCUGUCUGAAAGUAUCGUACGAAUAAGUAUCGGCUAACUCCGUGCCAGCAGCCGCGGUAAUACGGAGGAUUCAAGCGUUAUCCGGAUUUAUUGGGUUUAAAGGGUGCGUAGACGGUCUGAUAAGUUAGUGGUGAAAGCCUGAGGCUCAACUUCGGAAUUGCCUCUGAUACUGUUCGGCUAGAGAGUAGUUGCGGUAGGCGGAAUGUAUGGUGUAGCGGUGAAAUGCUUAGAGAUCAUACAGAACACCGAUUGCGAAGGCAGCUUACCAAGCUACUUCUGACGUUGAGGCACGAAAGCGUGGGGAGCAAACAGGAGUAGAUACCCGGGUAGUC